ensembl:lncRNA
CCUUCUUUGUGGCCAGCCAGGGCUCAGUGCGGAGAGACAGAGAAGACCCAGGUGUCCCCUGGCCCAAUGCUUCCGGGAGGCGUCUCGGCCUUCCCACCUCUGAGAACAUUCAGGCCUUUGAGAUGUGGCCCCUGCCUGCCCCAGUCCCCCUGGCCCGACAAUGGGGGCUUCAGAGGAGACUGGAUGGCAGGACACAGCCCCUUCUGUGAAGCAGAGUCGACCGCCAAGCUGGAGGUCUUCGUGGAUUUAUCAGGGAGAAGCAUGGCUGAGUAAAGGAAUUCUGGCACCAUGUGACAACCAUCUUCCUCAUCAAGACUGGUGUCCUGGGAUGUGGCUAUCCCUGAUCUUCCGGCAGAAUGAGGAGAAAAGUCUGAACCAGGCAGUUCAGCUUCCCCCAGUAGCACUCCUCUCAGGCCAUGGAGAAUAGUAACAGCUAACAUUAACUGAGCUUUUGCUAGGGGCCAGAACUUUACGUGCAUUAUCUCAUUUAAUCCUUGUGCUAAGAGGUAAGUACCAUUGCUAUUGCCAAUACAGGAAACAGAAGCUUAGUGUGGUUAAGUGACUUGCUCAAUGGCUGGAAGAGGUGAAGUAACCCACCUCAAGGUUGUUCAGGUAGUUAGCAGUACAGCCAGGAUUUGAACCCAAGCAGUCUAAACCCCGACAUUCAUUUCACCAAAAACAGCAACCGGAGAGUAGAAUCCUGAUCCCUGCAACAGGUCAACUGAGCCAGGACCAAUUCAUUGCUUGAUUCCUACAAAGGAUUCUUGCUGAUGAAGGUAACAAGGAAGAUAGAAACAGGAGAUUGGUAACAGUGAAGAAGGUGUUGAUGAACAGGUGACUAGGAAAUUCCCACCUAGGAGUCAUUGAGUUGUUCAUUCAUUAAUGCAUCAUCCAUCUCAGGAGCUCUGCUGAGUGGCCAUAGAAUGUAAAGAACAUGAGCUCUGGAGCCUGCCAGACUGAAUUCAAAUUCCAGUUCUGCCAUGAUUUCCUGUGUGACCUUGGGCACGUUGCUUCACUUCUCUGAGCCUCAGACUUCUCACCAAUAAAAUGAAGAUAACAAAUCAUCUAUCUUAUAGGGCUGCUGUGAGAAUGCAUGUUAUAAUGCAUAGGAAGUGGUUUGUAUGGUGCCUAGUACAGAAUGAACACUCAGUGAAUAUUAGCUGUUAUUAUUAUUAUUACUUAUACUUCUGUCCAGGUGCUGGGCUAAGGUACUAGAGUUACACAGACGAAUGGGACUGCCUCUUUGAUUGAAGAAAUUAGUGGAAGAGAUAGAGAUAGACAGACACAAUGUAAUAGGUGCCGGGAGUGGGGCCUGUACAAAUAGCCGUUGGAACACUUACUGUGCCUGAAGGACUAAGGAGGGCGUCCCGGAGGAGGUGACCUUAUCUGAGACUUGAAGGAUAAAUAGGAACCUAUUAAACAGAUAGGAAAAGAAGAGAUAAAGCCGGCUGGGCACAGUGGCUCAGCCUGUAAUCCCAGCACUUUGGGAGGCCGAGGUGGGCGGAUCACGAGGUCAGAAGUUCGAGACCAGCCUGGCCAACAUAGUGAAACCCUGUCUCUACUAAAAAUACAAAACUUAACUGGGCAUGGUGGCGGGCGCCUGUAGUCCCAGCUACUUGGGAGGCUGAGGCAGGAGAAUUGCUUGAACCCAGGAAUCGGAGGUUGCAGUGAGCCAAGAUUGUGACACUGCACUCCAGCCCGGGCGACACAGCAAGAUUGUGUCUCAAAAAAAAAAAAAAAAGAGAGAGAGAGAUAAAGCCAUUCCAGCUAAGGGAACAACGAAUGCAAAAUGCUCUAGUGCGCAGGAGGUAUCCUUAAGGGAGCAGUAUGGGUUUUGGCAGCCAGGAGGUGCUAGGUCUGGUUCUAGCGUUGGGUGUUGGGUGGAGAUAGUGGCAGGAGUAAGGCUCUGUACCUUGGCGGGGCCUCCAUGCUCUUCUAAGGAAUCUGCAUUUUGUCUUAUAGACAGUUGGGAAGCGUUUUGGGUAAAGGCAAAGUGUGAAUUACAUAUAAGACACUCUCAGCUAACCAGAACUUGAGAAUUUAGAUUGGCUCCCUCUGGGCCUGGGAGAAACAGACCCAGCCAUCCCCCACAGGAUAUAAAUCCCAAGAAGCCAGAAUCUCAUCCUAAGAAGAAAGCGGGGGCAGGCAGGGUGAGCACCAGGGCCCUUCACUGCUCUAGCCUGACCAAAACCCUUGGAGACACAGAUCUGGAGUCUUGCCCAUGACAGUGCGGGGCUCUGCAGCAGUGAUUCUCAAACUUCAGCCCGCACUGGAAUCCCCUGGGGACCUUGUUAAAAGGCAGAUUCUGAUUCAGCAGUCUGGGGCGGGGCCUAGGAAUGUGCAUUUCCAACAAGCCAAGCCCUCCCUUCCUCACCAUGCCGGUGCUGCUGAUCCAGGAACCACACUUUGAGUGGUAAAGAUCUAGAACUGUGAUCUGCCAUCCUGGCAGUGCAUUCAAGUCGCCUAGGGGAGGUUUUGAAAAGAAAAAGAAGGAUGCCAGGGCCUCACCCCAGACCAAUUAAAUCAGAAUCUUUAGGGGUGGGGCCUGGGCAUCCAUAGCUUUGAAAGCUCCCAAGUGACUCUGAUGCAUGGGCAGGAUGUGAAAGGAGAACACUGCAGAAUGUGCUCGUUCAGGCUGGGGCAGGGGGCUCAGAACUCCCUUCCCAGCGGAUGAUCUAGAAAUAGAAUGCAGUGCACACAAGGUCCCAGCCCAUGCCCUGUGAACAGCAUUCCUGGUAACCCCAGGAGGGCAACCAAGGGGUAUCCAUAUCAGGAAGGGAAAGGGGCAGGAAGGGCAGCCUCCUCUCAACUCUGUCCUCACCAGCCUCUUGGAAGUGGCUUUGUCCAGUGUCUGAGCCACUAGGCUAAAUAUAGCCCGGGCUGGGGGCUGAAUUCAGGCUAUUGAAGCCUCUUGAUUGCCCCAGCCCAGCCUCAGAAUGCAGAGAGAGGCUGGGGAAGGGGAGGCUGGGAGAGAAGGGAGAAGGGGUGAGGAGUUGGGUAAGAGGCAGGGGGUAGUUUGCUUGGCCAGUUGGAAUGGGAAAUCUGAACAAGUUUAUUUUUUAAAAUGAGGGUGCAAUGUCAGGGGAAAAGAGAGAGAUAUUCCUUACCUAGUGCUGAACUAUGUCCCCUCAAAAUUUAUGUGAAAGUUCUAACCCACAGUGGGACAGUAUUUGGAGACAGGGCCUUUAAGGAGGUCAUUAAAGUUACAUGGGGUCAUUAGGGUGGGACCCUGAUGCCACAGGAUUAGUGCCUUUAUAAGAGGAAAAGACACUAGAGCAUUCUCUCCCAGCACCUCCCAGCUCCUCUUGCCCCCACAUCCCCAUUCUCCCUGCCCACUUCCACCUCUUAGCACAUGUACCAAGGAAGGGCCUUGUGGGGACAUAGCAAGAAGGCAGCCAGGAAGGGAGCCCUCACCAGACACUGAAUGGGCCGGAACCUUGGUCUUGGACUUCCAAUUUCCAGAACUGUGAGAAAAUCUAUUUCUGGUUUUUGUUAUUGUUAUUGUUUGUUGCUUUUUUUUGAGACGGAGUCUCACUCUGCCACCCAGGCUGGAGUGCAGUGGCGUAAUCUUGGCUCACUGCAACCUCCACCUCCUGGGUUCAAGAGAUUCUCCUGUCUCAGCCUCCCGAGUAACUGGGAGUAGCUGGGAUUACAGGCAUGUAGCACCAUGCCUGGCUAGUUUUUGUAUUUUUAGUAGAGACAGGAUUUUGGCAUAUUGCCCAGGCUGGUCUCAAACUCUUGACCUCAGGUGAUCUACCCACCUCAGCCUCCCAAAGUGCUGGGAUUACAGGCGUGAGCCACCGCACCGGGCCCAAUUUCUGUUGUUUAAGCCACCUAGUCAGUGGUGUUUUGGUGUGGCAGCCUGAGUCAACACACCUUGUAAGCAGAAUCUGCCCAUCCCUUAUCCUUUUAUCCAUGUCUCCCAGACCCAACGUCCCUUCCAGAAACUUCUUCAAAGGGGAGAUCCUGUGAUGGUUUUAUGUAUCAACUUGACUGGGUCAACUUGACUAUGUAUCUGGUUAAAUAUCUUAACCAGAUAUUUAGUUAAACAUUAUUUUUGGUGUAUCCGUGAGGGUGUUUCUGGGUAACAUUGACAUUUGUGUCAUGUCUAUAGACUGAUUAAAGCAGAUUGCCGUCCCCAGUGUGGGUGGGCCCCAUGCAGUCCAUCAGAGACCCGAAUGAAACAAACACGGAUAAGGAAGAAGUCACUCUUCUACCAGAAUGCUUGAACUAGGACAUUGGUCCUACUGUCCUUUGAUUGGAACCUACACCACCAGUGCUCUUGGUUCAGGCCUUUGGGCUUAGACUGGAACUAUACCACCAACUUGCUUUGGCCUUCAGUUUGUAGACAGCAGGUCAUGGGAAUUCUCAGCCUUUAUAAUCAC